GUGGGAAGGAGCCCAGCAGCAGGGGCUGCCAGACCUGGAAAUAGAUCCACUCAUUGCAGUAUGGCAGAUGCAGAAGAGCAGAGCCAGCCAUAGCUGGAAGAGAAUCUUGGGGCACAGAGAUGCACAAACACGUAUGAGCAAGUCGAGACCCAAGUACCAAGCUGUAGAGUUACUGCUCCAUAGCAACCCAGGCCAGGAGGCAAGGUAAGAGGACGGUUAGUACAGAGAGCCACGGGGCAAGAGUGGAGCCACCUCGACAGUGGGGGUGACCAGAAGCCACAUCUAGGAGUGUUGACCCAGAGUCUGCAUUUCGUCCUGCUCAGGACUGUAGGAGAGGCCCAUCUUAAAUGCCACUGUCUCCGUGAGCUUUUGGAAACCUUACCGGCUUCCUCCCAUGUUCAGGGAGCUCCACUAAGAGGCAGGAGUCUUACUUUGUUGCCCAGGCUGGUCUCAAACUCCUGGCUUCAAGCAAUCCUUCUGCUUCGGCCUUCCAAAGUGCUGGGAUUACAGGCAUGAGCCACCAUGCCCAGCCUCCUUCCCUUACUAGCUGAGAACUAAGAGAAGACACUCUGGAGACAGAGGAGGAAACAAUGGUGACGCCACGCGAUGAAUACAUGAUGGAGGAUGAAGACAAGGCUCCAUCAGGGGCACCAGCGAGGGAAGCCCAGUACUGUAGGGAAGGUAUGGGGUGGCUUCACAAGCCCAGUGUCUGCUCUCUUUGUGGGACAUGUGUUGUUUCGGCAUCCAUUCCCGCUUCUUUUGGGAAAAGUGCUUGAAUUUCCUUUUCAGGAACCACCCACCAUCCUCUCAUCCAUGCGUUCUAUUCCCGGCAUCCGGGUAGACAAGUGACUUCAGGCUUGGCCAGUUAGGGUUCUGACUCUUGGUCAAAUCGGAGUGAAUCCUGAGUCAUUUGUAAACUCCAAGGAAAGGGCUUGCUUUGUUUUCUGUUGAAUGCAGUGCUGUGAGAUAACCAGAAAUGAAGCUGCUUUCUUGCCACAGUGAAGGCAAGAAAAGGGCCUGGCCGGCAAAUGAUGCCAGCGAUCGGGGUGGAGCUGGAAGAGGGGGAGCGAGGAGGCCCAGACAUCUUGGGAUCCCCGAAUUCACCUCAGGAUUUAACUUCUCUGCUGCUCAGCCAAUUAACUCCUUUCUUCCAUGACUAGUUUGAGUUGAGUUUUUAGUUUUUGCAACUAAAACAGCACUGACUAAUACACCCUUAGGUAAGAUUAGAGCAAGAAUAUCCAAUAUCUGUUUUCUUCAUCCUGAAAUUUGGUGAGGAUAUCUAAGGUUCUUUUGUCUUUUAAAAGAAUUCUGUUGCAAUAGAAAAUAUCAACCCAUAUUUUUCCAUUUCUCCAAAAUGUUUUAGUGUAUAUCUGCAGGGCACAAACUUCUCUCUGUAGGCCCUCUGCCAUGGUUGCUCUAUGCCACUUGUUAAGGGGCUGGUAUCUAGAAUAUAUAAAGCACUCUUAAAACUCA